CGAUCAGCCACACUGGAACUGAGACACGGUCCAGACUCCUACGGGAGGCAGCAGUGGGGAAUCUUGCGCAAUGGGCGAAAGCCUGACGCAGCAACGCCGCGUGCGGGAUGAAGGCCUUCGGGUUGUAAACCGCUUUCAGCAGGGACGAAAAUGACGGUACCUGCAGAAGAAGCUCCGGCUAACUACGUGCCAGCAGCCGCGGUAAUACGUAGGGAGCAAGCGUUGUCCGGAUUUAUUGGGCGUAAAGAGCUCGUAGGCGGUUCCGUAAGUCGAGUGUGAAAAAUCUGGGCUCAACCCAUUGAAGCACUCGAUACUGCGGUGACUAGAGUACAGUAGAGGAGUGUGGAAUUUGUGGUGUAGCGGUGAAAUGCGCAAAUAUCACAAGGAACACCAACGGCGAAGGCAGCACUCUGGGCCGGUACUGACGCUGAGGCUCGAAAGCGUGGGGAGCAAACAGGAUUAGAUACGCUGGUAGUCCACGCCGUAAACGAUGAGUGCUAAGUGUUGGAGGGUUUCCGCCCUUCAGUGCUGCAGUUAACGCAUUAAGCACUCCGCCUGGGGAGUACGACCGCAAGGUUGAAACUCAAAGGAAUUGACGGGGGGCGCGCACUAGCGGUGGAGCAUGUGGUUUAAUUCGAAGCAACGCGAAGUAGCCUUACCAGGUC
rnacentral:rRNA from 1 species